AUCUUUUCGAAUGCAUGCAGAGAUUUCUUCAGACACCAACCCAUUAGGGUUGAUCAGACUUCCAAGAUAAGUGAAGUU
rfam:Schistosoma haematobium scaffold115_6, whole genome shotgun sequence.